rnacentral:rRNA from 1 species
UACGGAGGGUGCAAGCGUUGUCCGGAUUUAUUGGGUUUAAAGGGGGCGUAGGUGGAUGAUUAAGUCAUGGGUGAAAGCCCGCAGCUCAACUUAGGAAUUGCCUGUGAUACUGAUUAGCUUGAGUGCGGGUGAGGCAGCUGGAAUUGGUGGUGUAGCGGUGAAAUGCAUAGAUACCACCAGGAACACCGAUUGCGAAGGCAGGUUGCUAAGCCGUAACUGACACUGAGGCACGAAAGCGUGGGGAGCAAACAGG